UACAGAGACCUCUAGCGUUAUCCGGAAUGAUUGGGCGUAAAGCGUCCGCAGGUGGCAGUUCAAGUCUGCUGUCAAAGACCGGGGCUUAACCUCGGAAAGGCAGUGUAAACUGAACAGCUAGAGUAUGGUAGGGGCAAAGGGAAUUCCUGGUGUAGCGGUGAAAUGCGUAGAGAUCAGGAAGAACAUCGGUGGCGAAGGCGCUUUGCUGGACCAUAACUGACACUCAGGGACGAAAGCUAGGGGAGCGAAUGGG
rnacentral:rRNA from 1 species